rnacentral:rRNA from 1 species
UGAAUACGAGACGCUAAGGCGUCGAAGUAGUGUAUGUCAUACUUCCAAGAAAAGCUUGCACUGUCAUAGAUAAAAAACGCCUGUACCAUAACCGACACAGGUGGGUAGGUAGAGUAUACUAAGGGGCGCGAGAUAACUCUCUCUAAGGAACUCGGCAAAAUAACUCCGUAACUUCGGGAGAAGGAGUGCCUUAUUCGUAAGGUUGCAAUAACAAGAUCCAAGCAACUGUUUAUCAAAAACACAGGUCUCCGCUAAGUCGUAAGACGAUGUAUGGGGGCUGACGCCUGCCCAGUGCCAGAAGGUUAAAGAAGUUGGUUAGCAAUUGCGAAGCUGAUAACUGAAGCCCUGGUGAACGGCGGCCGUAACUAUAACGGUCCUAAGGUAGCGAAAUUCCUUGUCGGGUAAGUUCCGACCCGCACGAAAGGCGUAAUGAUUUGGAUACUGUCUCGGAGAGGGGCUCGGUGAAAUAGACUUGUCUGUGAAGAUGCGGACUACCUGCACCAGGACAGAAAGACCCUAUGAAGCUUUACUGUAACUUGAAAUUGAAAUUGGACUUUAUUCGCGCAGUAUAGGUGGGAGGCGUUGAUUAUAAUCUUGUGGGAUUAUUGGAGCCAUCAGUGAGAUACCACUCUUGUAAUGUUAGAUUUCUAACUUUGAAUCAUUAUCUGGUCAAAGAACAGUUUCAGGCGGGCAGUUUGACUGGGGCGGUCGCCUCCUAAACGGUAACGGAGGCGUACAAAGGUUUCCUCUGAACGGUUAGAAAUCGUAUCUAGAGUGUAAAGGCAUAAGGAAGCUUGACUGUGAGACCUACAAGUCGAGCAGGGACGAAAGUCGGUCUUAGUGAUCUGACGGUACUGAGUGGAAAGGCCGUCACUCAACGGAUAAAAGUUACUCUAGGAUAACAGGCUGAUCUCCCCCAAGAGUUCACAUCGACGGGGAGGUUUGGCACCUCGAUGUCGGCUCAUCGCAUCCUGGGGCGGUAGUACGUCCCAAGGGUUGGGCUGUUCGCCCAUGAAAGCGGUACGCGAGCUGGGUUCAGAACGUCGUGAGACAGUUCGGUCCGUAUCCGGUGUAGGCGUUAGAAUAUUGAGAGGAGCCUUCUUUAGUACGAGAGGACCGAGAAGGACAUACCUCUGGUGUACCAGUUAUCGUGCCAACGGUAAACGCUGGGUAGCUAUGUAUGGAGUGGAUAACCGCUGAAAGCAUCUAAGUGGGAAGCCACCUCAAGAUAAGUAUUCUCAU